AGUGAACGCUGGCGGUAGGCCUAACACAUGCAAGUCGAACGGCAGCACAGUAAGAGCUUGCUCUUACGGGUGGCGAGUGGCGGACGGGUGAGGAAUACAUCGGAAUCUACUUUUUCGUGGGGGAUAACGUAGGGAAACUUACGCUAAUACCGCAUACGACCUACGGGUGAAAGCAGGGGAUCUUCGGACCUUGCGCGAUUGAAUGAGCCGAUGUCGGAUUAGCUAGUUGGCGAGGUAAAGGCCCACCAAGGCGACGAUCCGUAGCUGGUCUGAGAGGAUGAUCAGCCACACUGGAACUGAGACACGGUCCAGACUCCUACGGGAGGCAGCAGUGGGGAAUAUUGGACAAUGGGCGCAAGCCUGAUCCAGCCAUACCGCGUGGGUGGAGAAGGCCUUCGGGUUGUAAAGCCCUUUUGUUGGGAAAGAAAAGCAGCAGGUUAAUACCCCGCUGUUCUGACGGUACCCAAAGAAUAAGCACCGGCUAACUUCGUGC
rnacentral:rRNA from 1 species